CGCAGGCGGUCGUAUAAGUCGAAUGUGAAAGCCCCCGGCUCAACUGGGGAGAGUCAUUCGAUACUGUUCGACUCGAAGGCAGGAGAGGGAAGUGGAAUUCCGGGUGUAGUGGUGAAAUGCGUAGAUAUCCGGAGGAACACCAGUGGCGAAGGCGACUUUCUGGCCUGUUCUUGACGCUGAGGCGCGAAAGCUAGGGGAGCAAACG
rnacentral:rRNA from 1 species